AGAACGAACGCUGGCGGCAUGCCUAACACAUGCAAGUCGAACGCUCAUCCGGCUUCGGCCGGAUGGGAGUGGCGCACGGGUGAGUAGCGCGUGGGAACCUGCCCUGUUGUGGGGGAUAACCGAGGGAACUUCGGCUAAUACCGCAUGCGCCCCGGCGAAAGCCGGGGGAAAGAUUUAUCGCAGCAGGAGGGGCCCGCGUCGGAUUAGGUAGUUGGUGGGGUAACGGCCCACCAAGCCGAUGAUCCGUAGCUGGUCUGAGAGGAUGAUCAGCCACACUGGGACUGAGACACGGCCCAGACUCCUACGGGAGGCAGCAGUGGGGAAUAUUGGACAAUGGGGGCAACCCUGAUCCAGCAAUGCCGCGUGAGUGAUGAAGGCCUUAGGGUUGUAAAGCUCUUUCGCCCGCGACGAUGAUGACGGUAGCGGGAGAAGAAGCCCCGGCUAACUUCGCGCCAGCAGCCGC
rnacentral:rRNA from 1 species